ensembl:lncRNA
UCUCACCUGCUCUGCAAUCCACAGGCGUGGAAGAAGGGAAGGGGGUGAAAAGAAAUCAGUGAGACAACACCCAGAGUGAGACAACAGCGUGGAAAUCCUGUAUCAGGAAGCUUCAGCUUUGUCAUUCUCUUCCCCACAGCAAAAAAAAAAAAAAAAAAAAAAAAAAAAAAAACACCAAAAACCCACAGCUAUUACCCAAAAGCUGUUAGGACUGUUCAAACCCCUUUCCCAAACACAGCCUGCAUUUCCCAGUGGAAUGAAGCACCACUCCCCUCAAGGAGUGCUCCUGUCACUUGUUCCCUCUUGGAGAGCAUCUUGGCAGCAUCCCAGGGAAAUUCAAAGUAGACACAUCUCACUGUGGGGCAUUUUCACAAUGCUCUGCCAUGAAAUGCUGCUCUGCCCACAUUUUAGGGAAAAAAAAAAUACAAUAAGGAAGUGAUAACUGAGAAAGGACAUACUGCUGUUUUAUUCUUAUAAGGAAUCAGAUUCCUUGGCAUUUUUAGCAAGGAAUGAACUUUAUUUUAGCAAGAAACAACUUGAUUUUAGUGGAAGUUCAUUCCAUUUAUCUGUUCUUUAGCAAAAAAUGAUCAGAGGGAUGGAACACCUCCCCUGAGAGGAAAGGCUGAGACAACUGGGAUUGUUCAGCCUGGAGAAGAGAAGGGUCUGAUAAGACUUUAUGAGAACUUUGAGUGCCUGAAGAGCUUGAGAGGAACUUGGAACAAGGGCUGGAGGGACAGGACAAGGGGGAAUGGCUUUAAGCUGCAGGAGGGCACGGUUAGAUGGGAUAUUGGGAAGGAAUUGUUCCCUGUGAGGCUGGAGAGGCCCUGGCACAGGGUGCCCAGAGAAGCUGUGGCUGCCCUGGAUCCCUGGAAGUGUCCAAGGCUAGGUUGGACAGGGCUUGGAACAACCAAGUGGAAGGUGUCCCUGCCCAUGGCAGAGGUGGAUCAAAAGAUUUAAGGUCCCUUCCAACCCAAACAAUUUUGGGAUUCUGAAGAUAACUUGGCUCUUUCCCUCCACUCAGUUUUGAACACUCAUGGAAACAAAAAAAAAACCCAGCUCUUGGGAACAGCAAGGGCUUCACAGCACAGGAUGGACAAGACCUCUGCCAUGUCAGAGCUGGACAUUCCCAAAGCCAUUAGGAAUGGAGCAGCAGGAAAAGCUGGCAGGAAAAAUGCAUCCUUAAGGAUACAGGAAGCUUCCCUCCUCCCUGUCCUUUUCAUGACAGUCCAUCAGAGUUUGUCCCUGGCUGGGGACAGACACCUCCUGCACCCAUGGUGCUGCCUGGAGAAAACAAUCUUUAUCUCUGCUCUUUGUUUUUCCCAUGUGGAAUGUGGUGUGGAGAUUGUUUACCUGCAGUGAUGGCUGGGUUGGAUUCUGGUGAAGGUUUUUUGGGGUCAGUGACCAGUGGGAUCCAGCUGUGUUGGACUCUCAGCAGAGAGUCACGAGUUUGAGUUAGGUAAGGAAGAAGUAAGUAUGUAGAAUAGUAUAGUAUCUCUUUAAAUAGUAUAUUCAUGUAAUAUAGUAUAGUUUUAAUAAGGCUAUCCUUCAGCCCUCUGAUCUGGAGCCAGACAUCAUCAUUUCUUCCCUGAGUCAGGGUCACCUUUUUUACUGUACAAACCCAGUCAGGAGCACUGGACAAAAUAUAGAAAACUCUUAUUUCUUGCAAAAAGAGAAUGAGGAUUUUUGGCGGGAAGGCAGAUUUCUGGAUAAAAAUGUGCUUUUCUCUCUCAUGCUUGAGUGGCAUGUGAAAAUAGAAAAAAAAGAGAAUCACUUAGUUCUGUCUUUACUAAAUUUUCUUUUGGUUUUGCCUGAGGUUCCUGAUGGUGUCUCUGCUUUUCCCGUGUCUUUCUAAUAAACCAGCAGAGUUUGCAAUUUGUAUUUUUGUAUGUGGUGGGUAAACCCACGCUUUGUGAGGUUCACACGGCCUCACACAGGCGAACCCAUAUUUCUGUACCUUGUCACACAGCACCUUAAAUGUAUAAAAAGCAAGUUUUGCACAAAUUUUUCCCAGGCAUAACCAGGCUAACCCAGAGGGGGUUUGGGCACAGUAGUUUCCUGCAGUCUUCUCUGUUUCCAAGAAAACACAGAGCUCAUCUCCCUCUUCCUACCAAAAUCUGCAGCAAAUCUUAAUUUUCAGCCCGGGAACCCAGCUGAAAAAUGUGUUUUCUGCAACACUGUUGUGCUUAAAUGAUACCAAAAAUCAAUUGUAAUUAAAAUAGAAAAAAAAAAAAAAAA